rnacentral:ncRNA from 1 species
CGGGUGACGCACGGGAGCCCGGCGCGCGGGCUGAGAGGGGACCGACCGGUCCCGACCGUCGAACCUGAUCCGGGUCAUGCCGGCGCAGGGAGCGGAUGGAGUUGAGUG